UGGGGAAUCUUGCACAAUGGGCGAAAGCCUGAUGCAGCAACGCCGCGUGCGGGAAGACAGCCCUAGGGUUGUAAACCGCUUUCAGCAGGGAAGAAACUGACGGUACCUGCAGAAGAAGAUGCGGCCAACUACGUGCCAGCAGCCGCGGUGACACGUAGGCAUCAAGCGUUAUCCGGAUUUAUUGGGCGUAAAGAGCUCGUAGGCGGUUCGGUAAGUCGGGUGUGAAAACUCUGGGCUCAACCCAGAGAGGCCACUCGAUACUGCUGUGACUAGAGUGCGGUAGGGGAGCGGGGAAUUCCUGGUGUAGCGGUGAAAUGCGCAGAUAUCAGGAGGAACACCAGUGGCGAAGGCGCCGCUCUGGGCCGUAACUGACGCUGAGGAGCGAAAGCGUGGGGAGCGAACAGGAUUAGAUACCCUGGUAGUCCACGCCGUAAACGGUGGGCGCUAGGUGUGGGGAUCGUUUCCACGAUCUCCGUGCCGUAGCUAACGCAUUAAGCGCCCGCCUGGGAGUACGGCCGCAAGG
rnacentral:rRNA from 1 species